UGAGUAACCUGCCCUUAACUCUGGGAUAAGCCUGGGAAACUGGGUCUAAUACCGGAUAUGACUCCUCAUCGCAUGGUGGGGUGUGGAAAGCUUUAUUGUGGUUUUGGAUGGACUCGCGGCCUAUCAGCUUGUUGGUGAGGUAAUGGCUCACCAAGGCGACGACGGGUAGCCGGCCUGAGAGGGUGACCGGCCACACUGGGACCGAGACACGGUCCAGACUCCUACGGGAGGCAG
rnacentral:rRNA from 1 species